CACAGGAACUGUCUCUGUGUCAAGAGCAAAACUCCAGAGAUGGCAGCAGAUCCCUGUCAGCAGCAGGAGCAGCAACAGUACCAACCGUGCCAGAACAAUAAUAUUCCAUAAUAUUCAUAUACCAUAACUUACUCAGCCAUUCUCCAAUUGAUGGGCAUCCACUCAGUUUCCAGUUUCUGGCCACUACAAAGAGGGCUGCCACAAACAUUCUUGCACAUACAGAGGACUGUGGCUUCUGAGAGAUGAUGCCAUGAAAUGCAAGUGAGUUGGAAUUACGUGAGGGAAAUCUGUGCAAGGUCACCUGCUUCUCUUCAAAAGUUUUCUCAUCUGCCAAAUGAGCUGGAAAAGGAAAUGGCAAACCACGCCAGUAUUUUUGCCAAGAAAACCCCAAAUGGGGCCAAGAAGAGUCAGACAUGAUUGAAAAAUGACUGAACAACAACAACAAACAAAUAACAUUCAGUCAGGCUUGGAUCUCUGCCCUAGGUGAUCUUGAGAAUCUUCCUAAGACAAUUCAAAUGGAAGCAGCUCAGUUUCCUGGCACGGCCCUGGCACCCAGUCCAGAUUUCGCAGGUGUACCACAAUGAGGUCAGCACAAUGGCUCUGUAGACCUUCAGUUUGGCACUCACUCUCAUACCUCUCCCUCCCCACACCUUCCUUUGGAGCCUCCCAAACCCUGAGCAGGCUCUGGCGAUGAGCAAGUCAAUCUCAUUAUCAGUGUGGACAUCCUUGGGAAGCGCACUGCCAAGGUGCUAUCUGAAUGAACAAAAUGAAUCUCAUCAAAGCUCAGGAAAGUUUUUGUUCAGUGAGAAGAAUGCAUAAGUAACUCAGGCUGCUUCACAUGAAGGAAUUAAACCCCCACUACACUCUUGGAAGACACAAAGAAUAAAGGAAGAGAUAUUGAAGAGGAAAGACUUAGCACAAGAAGCCUUAAAAUUUGGAAAGAAAAAUAAACUUAUUGAAAAACAGGAACCCCAGCUACCACAGUUCCCUGAGCAUGAGGCACACAUUCUGGUAGCUUUUGUUCCCCUGCUAAUCCUCUGAAAAGUUCUGGCCAAAUUUAAUUGCUCUUUUCAAUCUCUUUAUAUCUCUCCUCUUUCUAUUUGUAAACUGUGCCUGGACUAUUCAGUUAACCUUUCUAAAGGGAAUAACCCAAUUAUAAAGUCUUUUAGAAAUGAAUUAAAACCUUUUAUCAUCUUGAAUUAUUUUCUACUUUCUGAGUAGG